GGGCUCUCUUCAACAGCACAUAUACCAAAAUCAGAACAAUACAAAGAUUAGCACGUUCCCUGUGCAAGGAUGAAACACAAAUUUGUGAAGCCUUCCAUGUUUCU